rnacentral:rRNA from 1 species
AUACGUAGGGGGCGAGCGUUGUCCGGAUUUAUUGGGCGUAAAGGGCGAGUAGGCGGCACGUCAAGUCGGCCGUGAAAUCCCCCGGCCCAACCGGGGAACUGCGACCGAAACUGUCAGUCUUGAGGGCGAGAGGGGAGAGCGGAACUUCUGGUGGAGCGGUGAAAUGCGUAGAUAUCAGAAGGAACAUCGGUGGUGAAAACGGCUCUCUGGUUCGUCCCUGACGCUGAGGUGCGAAAGCUAGGGUAGCGAACGGGAUUAGAAACCCCAGUAGUCC